AGAAUCAACGCUGGCGGCGUGCCUAACACAUGCAAGUCGCACGAGAAAGGGUAGCAAUACCUGAGUACAGUGGCGCACGGGUGAGUAACACGUGAAUAAUCUACCUCCGAGUGGGGAAUAACUGAGAGAAAUCUUAGCUAAUACCGCAUAAUACCCACGGGUCAAAGCAGCAAUGCGCUUGGAGAGGAGUUCGCGGCAGAUUAGUUAGUUGGCGGGGUAAUGGCCCACCAAGACGAUGAUCUGUAUCCGGCCUGAGAGGGCGCACGGACACACUGGAACUGAAACACGGUCCAGACUCCUACGGGAGGCAGCAGUGGGGAAUUUUGCGCAAUGGGGAAACCCUGACGCAGCAACGCCGCGUGGAGGAUGAAGCCCUUGGGUGUAAACUCUUUCGAUCGGGAAGAUAAUGACGGUACCGAUAUAAGAAGCCCGGCUAACUUCGUGCCAGCAGCCGC
rnacentral:rRNA from 1 species